UUCACUAUAUUUAAAAUUUAAAAAUGAUGUUUUUAUGAUAAUUGGAGUCAAAUGAGCAGCGACAAAGUUGCAAAGGCAGAGAAGUGAAAACCAACAACAAUGACUGGUGAAGAAGCAAUAAGCAAAAACAAUAAAAGGAAGAGAAGCAACAAUGACGACAGUGGCGAAAAAACAAGUGAAAAGCAGCAAAAGAAGGAGAAGCAAGAAACAAG
rnacentral:lncRNA from 1 species